rnacentral:rRNA from 1 species
UACGAAGGGGGCUAGCGUUGUUCGGAAUUACUGGGCGUAAAGCGCACGUAGGCGGAUAUUUAAGUCAGGGGUGAAAUCCCGGGGCUCAACCCCGGAACUGCCUUUGAUACUGGGAAGCUUGAGUCCGGAAGAGGUGAGUGGAACUCCGAGUGUAGAGGUGAAAUUCGUAGAUAUUCGGAAGAACACCAGUGGCGAAGGCGGCUCACUGGUCCGGUACUGACGCUGAGGUGCGAAAGCGUGGGGAGCAAACAGG